AGGUUGAGGCCUGGGGUUGAAUCUGCUUCUGCUAGAGGCCAGUGUUCUCAGGGAGGCCCAUAACCCGACUGGGUCUCAGUUCCCCCUGGUAUGAAACAGCAACAGGGCAAGAGGAGGAAACCAUGCCACGCUGCAAAGCUCUGAGCACGAAGCCGAGAAGAAUCUCGGCUCCCGGCCUCGGGGGCUGCACUUCGGGCCAGGCCUGCACUCCCAGGAUAAGAGGAUGGC
rnacentral:lncRNA from 1 species